rnacentral:rRNA from 1 species
UGGGGAAUUUUGGACAAUGGGCGAAAGCCUGAUCCAGCAAUGCCGCGUGUGCGAAGAAGGCCUUCGGGUUGUAAAGCACUUUUGUUCGGGAAGAAAACGUUCGUGUUAAUACCAUGGGCGGAUGACGGUACCGGAAGAAUAAGCACCGGCUAACUACGUGCCAGCAGCCGCGGUAAUACGUAGGGUGCAAGCGUUAAUCGGAAUUACUGGGCGUAAAGCGUGCGCAGGCGGCUAUGUAAGACAGGUGUGAAAUCCCCGAGCUUAACUUGGGAAUUGCAUUUGUGACUGCAUGGCUAGAGUGUGUCAGAGGGAGGUGGAAUUCCACGUGUAGCAGUGAAAUGCGUAGAUAUGUGGAGGAACACCAAUGGCGAAGGCAGCCUCCUGGGAUAACACUGACGCUCAUGCACGAAAGCGUGGGGAGCAAACA